UCCUCUCCUCUGGUCGCAGGUCCCAAGCCGUCCUGGGAGCGCUCAGCCACGGGAAGAGAGAGCUCAGACCCAGCAGCUCUGCUUCCGGGGCUUGGGAAUGAGCUGCGCUGAAAGUUUAUCAGUGAUUUAUUCUGCAGAGAGGCUGCAGUCGGAAUCCUCCUUCCGGAAAGUUUCAGCACCAUUGUUUUGAACGAUAAGAGCUUGUUGUAGCAACCCCUGUCCCUAAGCACUCGGAGCUUCUCCUUUAAAUAAACACGCAUCUUGCAAGCAACAUGCGGCUCCAAUGUGCAUCCCAUUAAAAGCUGGCAGGGCUGCUGGAGCCUCCUGGCUCUCCUGCCAAGCUCUGGGAUACAGUAGCAUUUCUACUCCAGAGCAAUAAAUUUGUGUACAACGAAGGGCCAUAAUAUUUGCCAUUUUUAGGGGAAACUCUGCUCGGUGAAGCAGAGAGAGAUGGAAAAUAUUCCGAAGAAACAGGACACAGAGGGAAGCAGAAGCCAGAUAAAUGGUGGCAAGAGGUGAUGGUUCAAAGGGACUCAGGAGAUCUAUGAGAUAGGAAGCCAUCUGAACGUGUGGAUGGAAGCCUGGGUGGAGGAAUUGUCUCGUGUCCAUGAUGAAUAUUCUAGUUGAGACUAAUACUCUAUAAAGGCCAAGAGAGGUUUUGGGCCUUUAGUCCUAGCAGCCAUAAUGGUGCUCACAGAUGAAAGUGGCUGGAGGCGAGCUGGAGAGCCCUGCACGCCAAGGAGCUGCUGCCGUCGGCUGUCACCCAGCCCACCGCGGGGAGCUGGCGUUGACCUCACACCAGCCCAGGAGUGGAGGCUUUGUCAGUG